rnacentral:rRNA from 1 species
UAAGCAGAGGUCCCGAGCGUUGUUCGGAUUCACUGGGCGUAAAGGGUGCGUAGGCGGCGCGGUAAGUCGGGUGUGAAAUCUCGGAGCUUAACUCCGAAACUGCAUUCGAUACGUGCCGUCGCUUGAGGACUGGAGAGGAGACUGGAAUUUACGGAUGUAGCGGUGAAAUGCGGUAGGUACUGUCGAGAGAACGGAAGCGGUGGAGGCGGAGCGGUCUGCCGUUCGGAGAACU